GGUGCGUGCAUGCGUACACGCUCCUUGUACGCGUGCAGACGUGCGUGGUCAGCAUUGUUCUUGUGGAGGGCAGCGAGGGGUGAUUUUUGAGACGUUUGAUGCAAAUGACUUGUGUGUCUGUGCGCGUGUGUGUACCCACGUUUCGAGGACAGAUUUCCGUUAGCCGUACGCGUGCUGCAUCUCAGUUAUUGGAGAUAGAAAAAAAAAUAAUGUAAACUAUGAAUAUCAUGUUAGAAAUGGGGUGAAAGCCUACCUGGUGGUUGAUUAUGUGUUUAAACAUGAAUGUGUGUGUGCAAGAGUGUCUGUUUGAUAGUGGCUUAUGUAUGUUCGAGUUUUUAUCGUCGUGACCGAGCACCAAGUUUCAAAACGUCUCACCGUGCACACAAAAGAGACCAAGGACAUUUUGGAUCCAUCCACAUCUUACCUAGUUCAGGAUGAGGGUUAAAGUUCUGCUGGUUUUCCAUGAAGAUAAAUACACAAAAUCCAGCUAAAAGCAGAAAUCAAUCAAGAAAUAAAAGCACACAUCUUUUUGUGGGUAUUAUUAUUUUUUAAAUGGUAGAAACCACCCCCUCCCCCAGAUGAAUUAUAACCCAGGCGUGUGACCGGAAAGUUGUCUCAUCCAAAAGUUUCUCUUGAUUGUGCUGUUCCACCGGCUCACUGCGAGGGGAGCUCAUGCUCUUUUCCACAAAAGGUGGCAGGCUUCUGGCCCAAGGCGAGAUGGCUGCUAAUGAUCUUCAGAUAUCCACUCCACAGAAUCAGCUUCUGUUGGGAAAAAUGGGUCCCCGGAGCGAUUCCAGAGCCCCCCCCCCACCCCCACCCCAACCUUUUCAUGCCGCAUGAGACGGCAUUAUAUUUACAGCAGAGUAAAUACAUUCUGUGAUUAUUGUUUGGCCUCUCUCCAGCUGAAAAAUCUCCGCUGCCUCUUCUCGUCGCAGUGCCACGUUCGAUUUGGUGGCCUUUUUCAUUUGCAAACUGCCGUAAUCAUGUUCACAGACUUCCGCGUGUCAGGAAAAUGCCAGCGUUGGCUUCGAGCUGUAUUUGCGUCGUGGUUUUUCGAUGACCCAGCGUAGAUGGUUUCUUUCAAAAAAAUGUUGUCAUGGCUGGUCAGUGGUGAUUUUGCAUCAGGGUGUUGACGUUUAAAACUGAGAUUAAAGCUGUUGAUCCCUUGUGCCCGCAUUUCCCUGGCAAACCGUGGAAAUAAUCAUCAAACUCUGACACUCAUUUGGGCCAAUUCCCUAGUUUUCCCAAUUUUGUGUCAAACGCUCACAUUUCAUAUGGCCAAUUGAUGAGUUUGAUAACUCUUCAUUGAUCCAAAGAAUAAUUCAGGCUCAAAGCAGCGAUAAACAGGCCAGUAAAAUCAUUUUCCAUGUCAAAUCCUCAAAAAACUGUCAUAUUUUGACGCCAUGCCUGCUUCCAAUUUAGCCAAAUUCUCUCAAACGGGGACUCUAAAAAAUUUUACGCCAAGUAGUACCUCGACAAAAAAUACUAGCUCCCCAGGUUUCACAAACAUCCAAAGACGUUAGCAUCGUAAGCGCUCAUCAAGAGGUUUUAUUCAUAAAAGGUUCAUUUAAUUUUAUAGCAAGUCACUGAAACAUGAUUUGGCAUAGUUUGUGCUUAAAUAUGGUAUAAUAAAAAACUGUCCAUCGUGAUCCAAUGAAAAGGUAUUGCACAUCAUUCAUGCAUUGCUAAUGUAUCGCACUUCAAAGUUAAAUAUAAGUGAACUUUUUUUUUUUUCACCAAACUUUGCGGUGGCCACUAUUUAUUUCUUGUUUUUUUUUCUUCUGUAUUGAAGUUUUGGGGCAUCAUAAUUGGAACCAUUUGCGUUGCCUAAAUUUUACACAUGCUUGCAAAAAUUGCCGAGUUUUCCCGCACUUGAGUGAGAUUCUUCUCUUGAAAGGAUUGCAGCAAGAAAAAAAAAACAAUUCCAAGAAGGUCUUUGCACUGCACUGUUGAGCCCCCUUAUAAUUCCUUUCGAUGCUGGACUGUCGUCAAAUAAAAAUUGUUUUGCAGCUGCAUCGGACCGGAAGGCUGCCUUUGGCCCUCUGGGAAAAAAUAUUUGAGACAAAACAACACGCAAUAACAUGAAACCACUGAAAAAAAAAGCUGCUGAGUCAAUGAAGCCAUGUCACCUAAAGUUUAGCCCGCCAUUACUCAUGCACUGUCCUAAUUUUGAGUUUUUUUUUUUUGGUCAUGCAAAAAACAUAAUUCACUAACAUAAUUCAUUUGAGGAAUUACGAGUGACUUGAACGGACAUUGAUGACAAGUCAGCCGACGGCUCUUAAGGCUCAACCGUACCGUAAAAGGGCAUCUAUUCGGAGCUUUAUUCAGAAAAUGAAUCACUCAAAAUACAAAAAAAAAAAACUUUGCGGAUUUAAUCAUAUCAUGAUCAGCAAGAGGGCGUGACAGAAAAACUUCACUUGAACCAAAGAUGUGGCCGCCGUCUGAAUUAUUUUACUGUGUGAAGAAUCUCCGUCUGGUCGUUGGUAAUUGCAGCUAGCUGUGCGCGGCUUUCAAGUCAAAAGGCGGUUUAAAAAAAAACCCAAAGUCGACGCCGAGCCUUUUGGGAGCCCUGCCAGGCGCGGGAAGUUAUCACCAUCGGGACGUUUUAUUUUUAUAAAUUUUUCGAGACUUCCACGCUGCACAAUUGCUCCACUGACGAGUCAGAUGUGUCUCAUGCUCUCUCGUUUUCUCUCUCUCUCUCCGUCUUUGGCUUUCUUCAGUUAUAUCCUUGUAGUCCCUUCAAAGUAGGCAAUGCCACUUCAAGAACAGCAGUUGCCCCCAAAGCCCCGAAAUGAACAAUGAGCUUGCAAACGAAAUAGUUGCAUUUCGUUACGUACUCCGUCAAAGGACAUCCAUCUUCAAGCUGUUGUCGGGCAUGUAGGGCACCUCCACAAGGGGAAAAAAAAAAUUCCCAUGUACAGCAGCAAUGGGUUCAGUCUUUAUCGCAUUAAGGAGCAAUUUCUGGUGUCUGAUCCAUUUUUAUUUUAUUUUAUUUUAUUUUGGCGGUCCGGUAGUCCAGUGGUUAGCACGUCGGCUUCACAGUGCACAGGUACCAGGUUCGAUUCCAGCUCCGGCCUCCCUGUGUGGAGUUUGCAUGUUCUCCCCGGGGGCCUAUGUGGGUUUUCUCCGGGUGCUCCGGUCUCCUCCCACAUUCCAAAAACAUGCGUGACAGGCUGAUUGAACACUCUAAAUUGUCCCUAGGUGUGAGUGUGAGUGCGAAUGGUUGUUCGUUUCUGUGUGCCCUGCGAUUGGCUGGCAACCGAUUCAGGGUGUCCCCCGCCUACUGCCCGAAGACGGCUGGGAUAGGCUCCAGCACCCCCCGCGACCCUAGUGAGGAUCAAGCGGCUCGGAAAAUGAAUGAAUGAAUGAAUAUUUUAUUUUUAGGGGCAUUUUGUUACAGUGCAGCAUCGGGAUAUGUGAGCACGUUGAACCCUAAAAUGAUGAAACUCAUGACGGCAUGCUAUGGCAACACCCCGUUUUAAACUGUGCAGAAUUGGCCAACCAAUCAAGAUGAAUGAUAAUGUUGAUUCAAUUGACGCCAAACAUACAUCGAUUGUGAUCAGGCUGCCAGCGGUCAUCCGAUAUGGAACACGAGAUUUCAGUGUUUAGGUUGAGCCUUUUCCGUGACUCAUUGCGUAGCUCAUCGUCGCAAUCAGAAUUUCAAAUCUAGGAAGACUAAGGAGGUUGUAAUUUGGCCUUGAUUAUGCGGAUGAUUUAGUGAGAUCAACACACUUGCCAAUUAAUUAGGGAUGUAAAAAUAACGCCAUUAAUCCUGCCUUCAAGAGGCUUUUAAUCUUUUUUAGUAUUAUUAUUUUUCUUACCCGUUUAAUGAAAUGUUUCCAGAGAGGUAUGCAAUUAUUUCAAUUCUUACUUUGGGAAGAGGGGGGGUGAGCUUGAAAUGAAUUCUAAGGAUUACAGCGAUGAUGUACUUACUUACCCUCAAGAGAAAUAUCCUGACCUUCGUCGGAGUCGCUCUUCGCAGCUUUAAACAUCUGCGUAUUAAUACGGUAUUUUGCACAAUCUCUCGUAACUCCUCACAGAUUAAAAAUAACAGUCCGCAACUGUUAAACGAAAAAUAAGAUAUCCGCAGGCGGAGAACUCAAAAUGGUCUUCGCGCGCCGCCGAUAAAUCGCGAUCUGUCGCAGCUCGCGCACAGGUGAGCCCAAACCAACGACUUGGGAGACACAAAUGGGAACGUGGGGGGGGGGGGGGAUUUAUUGUCACCCUGAAGAGGCGCUGAUGUUUGCGGGCGACGAGAGAGGAAAAGGCCGUAACCUGUCGCACCGCUGCAUUGAUGACAUCACCGAGCAAUCAUGUAGCACUAGCGUGCGCACCUUUAUGGAAUUUGUCAUUGACGUGAGCAUUUCUCACGAGCGCAUUUGGAUGUGAACGUUGGAGCUCGGUCACCGCAUCUCGUCAGAUCCAAACGGUGGGCAACAUUGAGUGGAUCGCCGCUAAUGCACACUUGUGGUCAGCAGGGUGUUACUUCCUGGCCUGUUGCUAUGGUGAUAGCGACUCCACUUGCUUCACAUCUCCUCAUUGCUUUUAACAUAAUUGUUUGCUGUAUAUCUGCCUUCAGGAAUAAAUAGUGGGGGUGGGAGGUGGGGGUGGGACUUCACCAUGUCGACUCUUCUGUGUCUUCUUUCUCUUGAUUUUUCAUGUAAAUGAAAACACUCGCGUUGGGAAGGCAAAUAUUACCCGAGGGCUCCGGGUGAGGAACGUUAUUAAAAGCUAAAAAAUAAAAAAAUUAACUUAGAGUUGUUGAUUUGUUCUCGUUGGUUCCAUCGUGCCCUUACCAUAAUUAAACUUGUGAGAAAAAACAAAAAAAACAUCUCGUUGAUGAAAUUAUUUGAAGACUAAUUUGGUUUUCUGAUAUCAACUGGAAAAAAAAACUUGAUAGCGUUGAUACUUAAAUUGAUCGUAGAUUGUCACAUUAUUAUGGUCAAUUUAUUUUGAAAAAAAACAACGGAAUAAAUUUCGGACAAUACGUCGAAAAUAUGACUAAGUGGUAAAAGUUUGGAGGUCAACCAAAAAUAUGUAUUGGAAAAUUAUGCCUCAGAUGUCAAAUAAAACCUACUUUCAGCCAUCAAUAACCUGAGAUAGUCAGCAAAUGUAACGAGACAAGCAUCUCCAGACAAGACAAAUGAAUUUACCUUAUAUGACUGGAAUUAUUUUUAUUUCGCAUUAAACUAAUGUCACAAAAAAAUAUGAAAUUUCCAUUGAUACUUCGUGUUUUUAAAAAAAUAUAUUGUCAAAUCUAGUGUAAGUGCCCAAAGUGGGAGUGACCGCACAGUUCUUGAAUCUCAUUUCUAGCAUCCCAAGUGUGCGAGUCGAGCCCCCCCACCCCCCCACGCCCCCACACCCAAAAGCAUGCACGUUGAGGUUACCCGAAGAAGCCGCCCUGAGUGUCAAUGCUUGUUUGUCUGCGCACCCCGCGAUCGAGUGGAAACGAGUCCAGGGUGCACCCGAGAUGGACUCCAGCUCACACAUGACCCGAAUGAGGACAAGCAAAAUGUGUUCCGUCUACAUAAUUUAAAAACCGAAUGCUAAAAGUUGGUUUACUUACAGCAAUGACCCCAAGGUCAUCUGUCAGCUUGGUUUCUGUAAGCGGAAAAAAAAAAAAAAAAAAAAAGGAUCCGGCAUUGAAUAUUUAGCGAUAGAACUUGAGGCCGAGGGAUGGAGAAAAUGCAGAAUUCAAUGAAUUAUAAAUGCAGUGCAGCAAAUUUACGAGGCGGGUUUGGGAAUUAAUGCAAGAUUAUCAAAAAAACAUUGAAGUCGCGAUGAGCCCUUAAUUCAAAACGGCCCCCUGCUGAACUCCAUUUUCUGUCCUUGAAAAUUCUUAGCGCUAAUGUUUGAGCGCCACGCGGGGAAUAUGAUUUGCGACGGCUACGACCGUCCUAAGUCAUGUUUUGCCCGCUCCUCAAUGCACUUUCGUUCAUACCGGUCGGCGCGUGUUGUUGUGAUUUGAUCAUUCCGACAAGAAUUUGUCUCUCUGUUCCGAGGUUUCGGCAGCUAGCGGAGACUAAGUGCUGCAGCUGGUUGUGCCCUGGAUAAAGUGUCAUAAAAAUAGACGCCCUAAUGGUAAAAAUGCAUCAUCAUGCAGUUUCACAGCCUCUUAGGGAAAUGUGGAAAAAAGAAAAAACAAAACAACAACUCUUGAAUAAAUGAACAUAUUUCAACAAAAACUCAGAGCACAGCAGUGUUGGAUUAGCGAGUUGAGAUUGCAAAGCGUGAGGAAGAUGGUGUCGACAUUAUCAUGCUAAUGCCAGCUGUACUUGACUGCCUUGGUUCUACUUCAAAGGAAAAUAAAACCCCUGCAAUUUGCACUGCUGUGAGCGGCAAAAAAAGUGUCAGGAGGAAAUGCCACUUACGCCCCCCCCCCACCCCCCGCCUCCAAAAUGUUUAUGAAUACCUGUGUAAAUAGUUUCAACAAUUUUAUUAUUUCAGUGUCACCUCGCAUGAGCCUUCAUUUUUUUUUCUUAACAUUUUCAAAAUCUACGUCCCAACCCUCAUCUAUGGUCACGAGCUAUGGGUCGUGACCGAAAGAACGAGAUCCCGGAUACAAGCGGCUGAAAUGAGUUUUCUCCGCAGGGUGUCCGGGCUCUCCCUUAGAGAUAAGGUGAGAAGCUCGGUCAUCCGGGAGGGGCUCAGAGUCGAGCCGCUUCUCCUCCACAUCGAGAGGAGCCAGAUGAGGUGGCUUGGGCAUCUGAUUCGGAUGCCUCCUGAACGCCUCCCUGGUGAGGUGUUCCGGGCAUGUCCCACCGGGAGGAGACCCCGAGGAAGACCCAGGACACGCUGGAGAGACUAUGUCACCCAGCUGGCCUGGGAACGCCUCGGGAUCCCCCGGGGAGAGCUGGAAGAAGUAGCUAGGGAGAGGGAAGUCUGGGCUUCCCUGCUAAAGCUGUUGCCCCCGCGACCCGGCCGCGGAUAAGCGGUAGAAGAUGGAUGGAUGGAUGGAUGAAACGAAUGAUGAACUGCCGCCCGCCCCAGUUCACCUCAU